CGAAUCCUGCCCGGCAAAGGAGGCCACCGGCCGGAAGCGAGUCUUGCGUGGUGCUGGGGUAACCCGGGCUGCGAAGCGUAGACAGCGAGUGGGCGGGCCGCGUUAUUGAGCCCCGAAAGGAACUUGUCGCGAGAGCUGACGCCGUCGAAACAGCGGAAGGCCGCAUCGGGAGAUUGAACGGGCCUGCUCUCCCGGUCUCGCCGGGGUCGAAGAGCG
rfam:Stigmatella aurantiaca DW4/3-1, complete genome.